GUAGGCGAGACAGAAUCGUGGAGGAAGCAGAGGGCACGUAUCAGCAUCCACGGAGUUAUGGGAGACUUGUAGCUGAAGGCCUACCAAGAUAAGUAGAGCAUUUGUGUCUCUGGGUUUCUGAGUUAAUGAUGCCAGCAGUCUCUGAACUAGCCAAAUUGUGGUGGAUUUAUUAUUUACAUUACAACUCCAUUUAAAAAUGAAAACAUAUGCCCACAUGUUCAGUGCUUCACAAAUACACGCUGUAGAAUUUUAUAUCCAGUAACAGAUGCAAUUUCCCUAUCAAAUAUAAUUUCUGUUUGUCUUCUGAACUCUGUAUUGUUGUGGAAAUUCCAGUUUAUCAGCUGCACUGGAGCCGAAUGAAGUGAGUAGUCCAAGACAUGAGCAGAUUUCUGCUGUGCACCUAGUAUUCCUUUCCCUUCCUAUUUAAUGCUAAUAUUGCUUUAUGCUAAAGAUGCAUUUUUUAAUGCUAUACAACUUGAUUCGUGGGGAAAAAGCAACACAAAUAAUUAAAGUUCUCUUUUGGGAACGUGAGUGGGCAGAGAGAAGUCAAGCGAGGGAAUCUUUUUGGUGGAACUUGUUUCACUUUCUUCUCCAGCCUGGUUGACAUUAUAGUGCUGAGAACAAUUGGGAGUUACUGAAGGCCCAGUUUAUCUUGCCGAUUUCUGUAGACUAUGUGUGACUUUGUUCCAAGUGACCCGUAAGAGCAAUGGCACCUGACGGAGCAACUGUGUAAAGCUGGGAGCAAGCCCAUUUUCAGGAGCAAUUUAGAGACUUCUUUUGACAUUUUCCCCCUUUUCUUUUUAAAAUUUAUUGCAGUCUGACAACAGCAAGUACCCAAAUCCUGUUAGGAAAUAAUGCAAUUUCUGAGCUUGGGUUCUGCUCUAACAAAGUUACAGGGUAGAUGUCACCAGCGUGGAGGGGAAGUUAAUCGUGGCAGGCUUGGAAAAAGAUUCAGUGCUGAAGUCUGGUUGUUCCCAUUUUCUCUUAAAGUGGUCUGCAAGUCUCCUCUCCCUUUUCUCAUUUUAAUUUGUUGUCUCAGGUUUGCUAGGCUGUGGAUUCUGGACAAGAGAACAGGAUCUGCUAGAAAAGCAAGGGAAAUACGAUGGAGGUGCUUGGGGCAGUGCUGAUGCUCAGGCAAACGCUCCUACAGCAGAGUGAGCGCACAGGUCCUCCUGUGCCUGGAUCCUUGGUCCAAGUCUCCUCACGCGGCUCAACUUUACGUCUGUGUCAGAAGAACGUCAAGACCAAUUGCCACUUCUUUUUUUUCUCAGAGUCCUCACCCAACAUAAGGCUUCCAAGAUGACAGAGAACAGGAGGUUGCGAUGACUACUGUUGAGACCAUUGUCAAGGGAAAGUCCUUUUCUUUUGAAGACCACUUGGAUGCUGACAUUUGCUGGAAGUGCCUAGAUUACUGCGAAGGCUUGGCUGGGUUUAUGGUUGACAAAACAUCUUUUGGUGACAUCAGAAGGGACCUACUGGUGUCCGCGUGGGCAGAAGAGAGUAGUACUACUGCUUUGAGAUAGCCAGUUGAAAGCCAGCACCUGCUUCGGUCCACAGGAAGGCAAACUAGCUCCCAUCACACAGGCUAAUGCUUUGUUCUUAGUUGAAAUCUAUACCAAGACUGCUGAGCAUCCUGGAUUCUCCAACUGGGCUGCCACAGGCAGAUUCUGGCUCAGCAUCUCAAUAUGGCAGAGAUCUUCUUCACUGCACAUGUACCCACUGGGAGGACUCAAACCUGGUAUUUCAGAACUCAGGAGAAAAAUUCACACUUUGCAUUUCUCACUGUCACAUGGAGGAGACUGUGACAAGGCCAGCUCUAGUGGCACAGGAUCAUAUGUACAAAUGGAUAUUCUUGAUAAACUUAUAGAAGUGAUGGCACAGACCCAAAGUUCCAAGCACUCCUCACUCUACCCUCAGAAGAUGCAAAGAUGAGUCCAUGCUCCAACUGAUCGCAUCUGGAUUCUAGAGUGUUCUUGAGUGUGUGAAGCUUCAAAGGAAGGAUGUUAAUGUGCUUCGAGGCAGAGGUCAGGAUGUACCUGAAGAAAGGCCUCAUACCAAAAGGUGGAUGUGAUAAGAGACCCAUUAACCAGUAGCAGAGGUCACGUGGCUUGUGUAAAGAGGAGACAUCUGGACCACGCAUGCCCAUUUUAUCACUGGACACCUUUGCAGAGAUUAUGGGGAUGAUCCAGUAACACUGCUUUUGGGUGAGUAGCCGAUGUCUUCACUGGGAUCAGGCAGUCUCCUCACAAAACACUCCAAGAGCUGACAGUAUCUCAUUAGUGGGUACAGUGUCAUUGCAGUGGAGUGUCCCAUUUGUGGACAGUGGAAGUCAAAGUGAUUUAUAGAGAGCAGUUGUCAAGUCAUGGCUGAGUGAGGAACCUGCAUAGGAAAACCCCUUGAGAAGCCUCUCCACAAAGCCAGCCGGUGGGUGACAGUGGCUGGCUCCUUGAUUAGAGGCCAUACAGAGUUGUUUCUGAAUCUAGACUUUGGGUCAUUGGGGGCAGGAGGUAGUUCCUUAUUCAUCGUUCUGUUUUGUUCGAGUUGAGAAACGUGUGUAAGUACACUUUAGACUCAACGAGGAACGUGGGCUUCUUUCACUUCCAGUGCCUGUAGAACCUUCGUCAGCAGCACGCUUGUGGGGAACAGGAAGAGUAGGGCUUUCUUUCUUUCAUACUUUAGCCAAUAAUGUUAGAUUUCUAGUUAUUUUAAAGAACGUCUUUUGUAUGCUUGUGAUAGAAUCAAUAAAGUUUUAAAAUUUAAAUU
rnacentral:lncRNA from 1 species